UACGUAGGGUGCAAGCGUUGUCCGGAAUUAUUGGGCGAAAGAGCUCGUAGGCGGUCUGUCGCGUCGGCUGUGAAAACCCGGAGCUCAACUCCGGGCCUGCAGUCGAUACGGGCAGACUGGAGUUCGGCAGGGGAGACUGGAAUUCCUGGUGUAGCGGUGAAAUGCGCAGAUAUCGGGAGGAACACCGGUGGCGAAGGCGGUUC
rnacentral:rRNA from 1 species